rnacentral:rRNA from 1 species
GUGGGGUAACGGCCCACCAAGGCGACGAUCAGUAGCUGGUCUGAGAGGAUGAUCAGCCUCACUGGGACUGAGACACGGCCCACACUCCUACGGGAGGCAGCAGUGGGGAAUAUUGGACAAUGGGCGCAAGCCUGAUC